CCUACGGGAGGCUGCAGUGGGGGAUAUUGCACAAUGGGGGGAACCCUGAUGCAGCGACGCCGCGUGGGUGAAGAAGCGCCUCGGCGCGUAAAGCCCUGUCAGCAGGGAAGAAAAUGACGGUACCUGCAGAAAAAGCCACGGCUAACUACGUGCCAGCAGCCGCGGUAAAACGUAGGGGGCGAGCGUUCUCUGGAUUUACUGGGUGUAAAGGGGGAGCAGACGGCGAGGCAAGCCAGGAGUGAAAGCCCGGGGCCCAACCCCGGGACUGAUCUUGGAACUGCGUGGCUGGAGUGCAGGAGGGGCAGGUGGAAUUCCUGGUGUAGCGGUGAAAUGCGUAGAUAUCAGGAGGAACACCGGUGGCGAAGGCGGCCUGCUGGAAUGCAACUGACGUUGAGGCCCGAAAGCGUGGGGAGCAAACAGGAUUAGAUACCCGGGUAGUC
rnacentral:rRNA from 1 species